GGGCCGGUGGUCUAGACAGGCUAUGACGACGCCCUCACACGGCGUAGGUCGCCGGUUCAAAUCCGGCCCGGCCCACCA
rnacentral:tRNA from 1 species